AGUGAACGCUGGCGGCAGGCCUAACACAUGCAAGUCGAACGAAGUCUUCGGACUUAGUGGCGGACGGGUGAGUAACACGUGGGUACGUGACUUUCGGUUCGGAAUACCUCAGGGAAACUUGUGCUACUACGGAAUGUGCCAUUCGGGGGAAAGAUUUAUCGCCUUUAGAGCGGCCCGCGUCUGAUUAGCUAGUUGGUGAGGUACUGGCUCACCAAGGCUACGAUCAGUAGCUGGUCUGAGAGGAUGACCAGCCACAUUGGGACUGAGACACGGCCCAAACUCCUACGGGAGGCAGCAGUGGGGAAUCUUGCGCAAUGGGCGAAAGCCUGACGCAGCCAUGCCGCGUAGAUGAUGAAGGUCUUAGGAUUGUAAAAUCCUUUCACCGGUGAAGAUAAUGACUGUAGCCGGAGAAGAAGCCCCGGCUAACUUCGUGCCAGCAGCCGCUGUAACAC
rnacentral:rRNA from 1 species